rnacentral:lncRNA from 1 species
AAUCAAAGUAACACUUGCUUCCAGGAAUGAAUUUGGAAGCUUUGCUUCCCUUUCAAUUUCCUUGAUGAGUUUAAAGAGUAAUGGUGAUAGUUCUCUAAAUGUCUUGUAGAAUUCAGCAGUGAAGCCAUCAGGACCUGGGCUUUUUUUUGUUGGUAAAUUUUUUAUUACAUUUUCAAUUUCACUUAUUGUAAUUGGGGUGUUUAGAAUUUCUGUAUCUUCUUCAUUUAACUUUGGCAAUUCGUAUGUGUCUAGGAAUCUGUCCAUUUCUUCUGUGUUUUCCAUUUUAUUAGAGUACAGGUUCUCGAAGUAGGUAUUAAUCCUCUGGAUUUCUGCUGGGUCUGUUGUCACUUCACCUUUUUCGUUCUUAAUUGCAUGGAUUUGGGCCGUUUCUUUCCUUUUUUGGAUAAGGUUGGCUAAAGGUUUAUCGAUUUUAUUUAUUCUUUCAAAAAACCAACUCUUUGAUUCAUUAAUUUUUUGUAUCAUUCUCUUAGUCUCCAUUGCAUUGAUUUCUGCUCUAAUCUUUAUAAUUUCCUCUCUUGUACAAGCUUUGGGUUUGUUACGCUCUUCUUUUUCUAGGAGCUUGAGGUUUGGCAUUAGGUUAUUUAACUGAGUUCUCUCUGUUGUCCUAAUAUGGGCAUUCACUGCUAUGAAUUUCCCACAUAGAACUGCUUUCAUUGUAUCCCAUAGAUUCCUGAAUGUUGUACUGUCAUUGUCAUUUACUUGUAGAAACUGUCUAAUUUCUUCUUUAAUUUCCUCUGUGACCCAUUGGUUUUUCAGGAGGGUGUUAUUCAAUUUCCAUGUGUUCAUGGAAGUUUUGCAGUUCUUAUGUUAUUGACCUCCAGUUUUAUUGCACUAUGGUCUGAUAACAUACAGGGGGUAACUUCAAUUCUUUUACAUUUUCUUAGACAUGUCUUAUGAGCUAGCAUGUUCUCUAUUUUGGAGAAUGAUGCAUGUGCAGCCGAAAAGAAUGUGUAUUCUGAUUUUGUGUGUGUGGGGGAACACUCUGUAAACAUGCAUGAAGUCCAUUUGUUCAAUAGCUUGGUUCAGUUCUAGAAUUUCGUUGUUAAUUUUUUGUCUAGAUGAUCUGUCUGUUUGUGAUAGUCGUUUUUGAAGUCCCCGACUACAAUUACAUUAGUGGUUAUUUGAUUUUUCAUGUCCAUUAAUAUUUGUUUUGUAUAGUUGGGGGUAUUUGUAUUUGGUGCAUAUAUAUUUAUGAUUGUCAUCUCUUCCUCUUGGAUUGUUCCCUUCAUAAGGAUGUAGUGACCAUCUUUGUCUCUCUUAAUUAGUUUUGGUUUGAAAUCUACUUUGUCAGCAAAUAAGAUUGCUACCCCUGCUUUUUUCUGGGUUCCUGUUGCAUGGAAAACUGUUUUCCAUCCUUUUACUUUCAGUCUAUGAAUUUCUUUUUGAGUUAGGUGUGUUUCUUUUUUUUUUUUUUUUUGGUACCGGGGAUCAAACUCGGGACCUUGUGCUUGCAAGGCAGCUGAGCCACUGAGCUAAAUCCCUGGCCCAGGAGUGUUUCUUGUAUACAGCAUAUUGCUGGAUUUUGCUUCUUAAUCCAUUCUGUUAGUCUAUUUCUUUUGAUUGGUGAAUUGAGGUCAUUAACAUUGAGAGUUAUAAUUGAUAGAUAUUAAUCCAUCCUUGCCAUGAUGUUUUGCUGUUGUUGGCUCUUUUCUUUCUUAUCUUUCCCCCACUUUCCCUUUAGUUUCUUACCUUGCCUGGUGGCUUCCCUCUUUUGGGCCUCAUGGAGUUGUGAUCUUCAUUGUCUUUUUCUAGGAUAUUGCUUAGAAUUGUUUGGAGUGCUGGUUUGGUGUUCAUGAAAUUUCUCAGGUGUUCUUUGUCAUGAAAGUAUCUAAUUUCCCCAUUGACUUUGAAAGAUAAUUUUGCAGGAUACAAUAGUUUAGGUUGGAAGUUAUUUUCUUUUAGGGCUUGAAAUACUUCACACCAGGCUCUCUUUGAUUUGAGGGUUUGUGUUGAGAAGUCUGCUGUGAUUCUGAUGGGGUUUCCUUUGUAGGUGAUUCGUUUCUUUUCUCUAACUGCCUGUAGGAUUUUGUUUUGCUGGGUUUCUGGGAUCUUGACUAUUAUAUGUCUAUGUGUAGAUUUUUUUUUGAUCAUUGUUAGUUGGAGUUCUAUAUGCCUCACUUAUCUGUAUGUCCAGUUCUCCACCUCUGUCUGGGAAGUUUUCUACUGUUACUUCUGUGAACAGUUUUUUUUUUUAUAUCAAUUGUACUUUCUCCUGUUUUUUCGUGGACUCCUGUCAGUCUUAUGUUAUUCUUCUUUGCAUCAUCUAGUAGCUGCUGGAUUGAUUUCUCGUGGUCCCUUACUAUUUUGAAGAGAUCUCUGUUUUCAUGGUACUUAACUGCAGUCCUGUCUUCUAUAUCUGAUAUUCUAUCUUCAGAUUCCCUUAAUCUGCUCUACAUGCUUUCAAUGGAGUUUUUAAUCUCCUGAAUACCUGUUUGAGUCUGUUUCAUGGAUUCCAUUUCUUUUUUAUGUUGGGCGAUCAUGGUUUCCAUUUCUUUCUUAUGCUGGGCAUUCCUGGCUUCCAGCAUGUUUCUGAGGUCAUCUAUUGUUUUAUCUGUUUCUGUUUUGGAACCUCUAAUCAUAUCUUUCAUUCUGCUCACCAUCUCUGUGGAUAUCUGGGAGGUGAUUUCUGCUUUGAAUUUUUCUAGAGCCUUAUUCAUCUGUUUUUUAAAUUUUUUUUGGUACUGGGAAUCGAACUCUGGACCUUGGGCUUGCAAGGCAGGCUACAGAACCACUGAGCUAAAUCCCCAGCUCUUCAUUCAUCUGUUUUGUUACUUCCUGUGCUAUCAGUUCAGGGUGUCCAGGUGGUUGAUUAUCAAGACUUUUCCACCUUGUUUCCCCCAGAAUUUGCCUUUUGUGGGGUGGAAGUCUGAGUUUGUGCCUUGCUUAAAUGUCUUCUCAUUUUUGUUUUUGGUACUGUCCAUGGUUUAAUUCCUGGGUUGAUACUUUGAAGUUGUUUAUUGUAAGUAUCUUUGUUGAUGUAUUUACAACCCUUAUGGAAUGAUUGCUUCUCAGCGUUGUCUUCCAGAUAUAGCUGGUCUUUAGGUUUUGAGUCUCUGAUGGCUCUGAGGCUGUCUCAUUUUCAUUAUACCAGGAAAGAUGAAUGAUUAGAUCAAUCACAACACUUUAGCCCAAGUGAUACAAUCAGCAACACAGUAGCAUCAAGUACCUCUUAGAAAAUGAGAAUUUGUGGUAGUUAUUAAUCUAUCAGCUUUAACUGUGAAUUAAAUCAAAAUCGAGGACCAACCCAACAUAGGUUUAUAGUGAAUAAACUCUUCAAUAUAGCAACUUUACCCUUCAAGAUGGGGAGUUAGAAGGCAUUAGGGACAGAGGAAUAGGUAAGUAGAAGGAUAGGGGAAGGUUAGCAGUGAGGCCAGAGGGCACAGGCAAGAGAAGGAAAGAGAAGAAAAGAAAGAUAAAAAGGAAAUACAAAUUACAGGCAGAAAGGAACACAAAGGGAGAUGAAGAACAAUGUGGGACAGCAAGGGAGCGAGGCAGAGAGAGAGAGAAAGAAAAGAGAAAAGAAAGAAAAAAGAGAAAAAGAAAAAUUUUUUUUUUUGGUACUGGGGAUUGAACUCAGGACCUUGUGCUUGCGAGGCAGGCACCAGAACCACUGAGCUAAAUCCCCACCCAAAAAUAAAAAUUUUAAAACAGUACCAAAUAAGUAAAAAUAAAAAAUAAGAGCAAAAAAAAAAAUAGUGGUAAUUUUGAAAAUAACAAAAAAUCAAAAUGAAGGGCCUCCUUCAGGGUAUGUCUCUGCUGUCACAGUAGACAACGUGGGCAGCAGUGUGCAGCUCUAAGUCAGUGAGUCUCAGCAAGCCAGUCACAGAAUGUUGAGAUUCAGGCAGAUUUGUGGCUGCAAGUCCCAAGUUGAGCUCCCUGACCCCUGCAGGGUUGACUCCUGCCAGGUUCUACUGAAGGUUCCAGCUCCCCUUUUCCCUGAAGAGAGUCCAGGUUCCAGUGGAAGGUGAUGCCUUCAACUUACCAAGCACAGUGGUCUGGUGUGCCUUUAUUGCAGAGAUUCUCUUCACUUUUCCAGUGGGCUUCAGUUUUCAUCAGGGAUCCUGAGAGAGGCCCUCUCUCUGUUCACUUCUGCAGCUCAGGACAAUGGCCUUUAUGCCCCCUGUGCCUCUGUAAUGUGGAUCCAAGUAGCUGUACAGCUGGGGUAGGGGUGUUGUCUCAGGCACCUGCCUGGCUAAGCUGGAGGCUGGUGGGCGUACCGGGAGUGGUGGUCCUCACCAGUUUGGUCUCCUGGUCGAAAGUGAGCGGAGCAAGCCAGACUGAGCAGGACACACUCAGCCCGAGCUUGCUCUGCCUGUGCCCACAGCUAAGCUGGAGGCUGGUCUGGAGAAUGUGUAUUUAGAAUGUUAGUGUGUUUACAGUUCAUGAACUUGGGAUGGACACAGGUAAAUACCAGAUGUUUCCCUGAUGGAGAGGAGCUAGUUGAUGCUAUUUUCUCAGGAGCCCCUUGGAUGACUGCAUGAUGUAGCAGUGCUUCCUAACCAGGGAUUACAAUAUGUCACCAUCAGCAUUUUUGGUCCCCCACGUGGCAUGUUAUUUAUUUAUUUGUUUCUGCAGUGCUAGGCAUUGGACCUAGGGCCUUCCCAGUGAGCUACAUCCCCAGUGCAACCCCCAUCCCCAUUAAACAUUUUAUUUUGAGAGAGGUCUUUAAAUUACCCAGGCUGGGCUCCAUUCUCCUGCCUUAGCCUCCCAGAGUGUUAGAAUUACAGGCAUGAGGCCUCACUGCCUUGGAGCCAGCCAACUAUGGACUGAAACCUCUAGACUUCCAGGAAGAUGGUGGAAUGGUGAACAGCAGGGAAACAGCCUCUUGAGAUUUGGUGUCCAGAUGCUGGAAUAGAGCAGUGUGAGGAAGAGAGGCAGGCAAGUGGGUCCCCAGGAACGAGCAAGGAUCUGAAGUGAGACUUGAAGGCCACCCAUGCGGAGAGGGAAGAGAGACUUCAAAGCAGAAGAAAGAGGCAGCAAGCGACACUUUCUCCCUGAGCCCUGACGUACAGUAUGGGAAGGGAAACUCGAGCCUGGAGAUGCACUGUGACUACUGGGGAUCCUAGAGGCCUCCAUAGAGAAACACAUUGGUGGAAUGGAGCAGUGGACACAGCAGACUGCAGUUAUUCGGGUUCAGAUGUCCUCAGGAGAGGGCAGUUGUCCAGUAGCCAUCUUGGAGAAGGCAGAACUGAGCUUGGAACUAAAGCAGCUGCAGGCUGGCUCCAUCAUGGUGAGGUGGAACCAAGUUUGAGUUGGCAGGAGGUCAAGGAGCUGAGUUCAGGCCGGCAGGAAGCAAGUGUUGCAGGCUGAAAAUGGAUUCCACCCUCACAGCCAGAAACCAGUCUCUAAAGGUGUAGGCUUGCUAAGAUUAUCUACCACCCCAAGAGCUGGCUUGUUUGGAUUAAUCAAAACAGAUCCCAGGGAUUUAGCUCAGUGGUGCCGUUGCCUGCCUCCCAAGUGUAAGGUCCUGAGUUCGAUCCCUAGUACCAAAAAAACCCCACAGAUCUGGAGUCUUCCCAAUUUGUCUACCAGUGAUGUCAGAGACUUGCCUCAAAGUGGACUUUUUUUUCUUUUCUUGUUUUUUGUUUUCUCUUUUCUUGAUUGUUUCUUCUUGUUUUUAUAUAAGUGUGAACAUUGUUUCUAGAUUUUUGUUCUGUUCUGUUCUUGUUCUUAUUUCUUCCUUCUCUCUCCCUCCUGAGUUUUUCAUCAAUUUCCCAGUUUGCAUAAUCUUCCUUUGUCCUCCAGCCUUUCUUCUGAUCUCUUCCUUUUCUUCUAUUUCUCUCUAUUUUUCCCCUAACCUCUUUGAAAUUUUCUCUCCUGAGGGUAAAAUCGCCACACUGAGGGCAUAUUUACUGCAUACAGUUUUCUGGUUUGUUUUAGAUUUUGGUAUAUAACUACAAAUCUAGUUCACAUGGUUAAAGGUGGCAAAUUAAUAGUUACCACAGUUUGUCAUUUUUUAGGCUGUAUUGAUGCUAUGGUUAUUGCUGAUGGUACUACUUUAGCCAGGGUGACAUAGUUGUUCUAAUCUGUUGUUCAUCCUGAUAUGCCAAGACAGAGAUUGCCUAAGGCUCAUAAAUAACAGUACUAUAAGUCAGUGCCAAAGAACCAGGGGCUAGGGCAAAUAGGCAGCAACUUCUCAUCCCCCAUAAAUUGAAGAGGUAGGAUCUUGCAACAGACUCAAAACCCGAAAGCCAGCUAUACCUGAAGACAUCUUUGAGAAUUAGUCAUGUCCUAAGGGUUCUAGAAUUACAGGCAUGAACCACCAUGCCUGGCUUACUUUUAAUUUUUUUUUUUUUGGUACCAGGGAUCGAACUUGGGACCUUGUGCUUGUGAGGCAGGCGGUGGAACCACUGAGCUAAAUCCCCAGCCCUAUUUUUAAUUUUUAAGUAGUUGUUUAAAAUUUAUUCAGAAGGCUAGGCAGAAAUGUGUGAGAUUGAAGAAUGCUUGUGUUCUAGGAGAGAUGUUAGGGUGGAUAGCUUUAGAAUGUAUUUUCUCUAAGGUAGGCAGAAACUAUGUUACAUGAAACAUUUCAAGUUGAAAUUGCAAAGAACUUCAGAAAUGGAGGGACCUUAGAAAUGUGGCCCUGUGCAGGUGGACUUGGUGGGAGCGCCCCGGGGAGGACGAUGGAGCAGGCUGUAGUGUGUGUCCUGUCUCUCAGUGUGUGUACCAUUGCUAGUUUGUUCCUUACACUUUACCACUCACCCCUGUCGUCAGGCUUUAUUAUCUCGAGUGUUAAUCUUAUCCAGGAACUAGAGUAUAGAUAGGCAUUGGAGGUCAGUGAUAAUAGGUUUUUAUUUAUACUGCAGUGCCUGUGAUACUGAAUAAAUACACAAGCAGUGCACGCUGAGUACAGUCUACUCAGCCAGUUAAUCCAGUAAAAUCUGAAAAACAGAAUCUAUUGAGCCAGUCAACUGAUUUCCUACCUUUGAAGAGUCCAUUCUGGUCAGAAAUUAAGCUUUUACAUAUUUCUCAUUGAGAUGAAUCUGAAUGUAUUGUUCUGAGUAAAAUUUUUGGAAGUUACACCUUUGGCUUCUGAUUAUAUAAGCCAGCACACUGGGAAAUGUAUUUUAAAAGUUAUAAUUUAUUUUAACUUGUGAUGACCAGAGGAAGAAAAACAGACCCUGAAACAGUCCUGAGAGUUAGCAGGAGACCUUUCUUCUGGAAGCAGUAAAAGGCAAGUGACAGAAUUAUUCACACAAAUGAGGACUAACCUUUUUUUUGGACCUCAGAAUUUUAGGGUUUGAAUGACAGAUUGAGCCUCAUGGCUAUUGCUGAUCUAGUAAGAGUCUGACUUGGUAUUUUUUGCAGUCUUUUCUGUUUCCUGUGGCUGAGGAAUCCUUGGUGUAAGUGACUGAAAUUAUUGGGAAGUCCCUUGACUGAAAUAGAAUCUCUUAGACGUUCCUUCCUUCAAGUACCAGCCAGUGUGUUUCUGUUUUCCAUCUGGAGUCUGUGAACAGAAUGCAUGUGUGUGAGCUAAUUGGGCUUUCACUAAUGGCCCCCUUUCAGCAGCCAUGUAUGGGGAAAGCUGUUCAGACCCCUGCUCCUCCUCUCUGGGCGUGGAGUAGCCUGUUCUGCUGAAGCUGCUGUUCCACUCUGCAGCUUUCUGUAUCUGUACAGCAAUAGCAGGAGCAGCCCACUAGCAAGGCCCAGCAUUGCUCUGUGCACCCACACUGCCUCCGACCUGCUCAGGGUGCAGCCAUCGCUCACCGUUUGUGUCUUAUGUGCGUCCAUCUGCCUGUCUGUGUACAUUUCUGUGGAGGACUGAGGUUUUCCAGGGAAAGAUGUGACCUGUUUGUCUUUCUGUUUGGGUUCCUUUCAGCCUGUCAAUUACAAAUUGUAAGGGGCCAGGGAUUUAGCUCAGUGGUGCCGCUGCCUGGCUCUCAAGUGUAAGGUCCAGAGUUCAAUCCCCAGUACCCAAAAGAACAAAUUGUAGACAGUGAUUGAGAAUCUCAGGCAUGGGAUGAAAAGCGAGAUUUGUACUAUUUUAACAAAAUAAUAUCUUGGGGGAUAGGAUCCCAGAGUGGUAGUGUCAGAAAUGGUCUUUGGCUUCCUUAACAAAUACCCUCAUUGAAGUAGUAGCAUCCUUCCCUCUUUAAAAAAAUUUUUUUUUUUUUUUUUUUUGGUACUGGGGAUCAAACUCAGGACCUUGCACUUGCGAGGCAGGCGCCAGAACCACUGAGCUAAAUACCUGGCCCAGAUUUUUUUUAUUUUUGAGACAGGGUUUUGCUGUGUAAUUCAGGUAGCCCAGGGUGGCCUUAAACUCAUGAUGAUCCUCCUGCCUCAGCCUCCCAAGUGCUGAGAUUACAGGCUUGUGCCACCAUGCCUCGCUGCCUCUCUCCUCUGUAAAAUAGGUCACAAAGAUCAGCUUUUAGGGGUGGGAAUUGACUUCCUUUCCUGGUACAAAAAUUUCCAGACAAAAUAUAAAUACAAAAAGAUGGGAAGCACUCCUAAGAAAUGAUUUAGUGGACCGGGGAUUUAGCUCAGUAGUUCCGUUGCCUGCCUUGCAAGCGCAAGGACCUGAGUUCCAUUCCCGGUACCAAAGAAAAGAAAAGAAAUGAUUUAGUACAUAUCUUUCUGAAAGAGGAUGCAGUAGGGGCUACUGCCCGAGCUGCUUGCUGGAAAGGAGCUGCAGGAUGCUCUGUCCUUCUUGGCUCUGCAGCAAGCCUGUGGUAAUGUGUGCACUGAUUCCGAGUGCUGUUUCGAGGCUGGCCUUGCAGAGGCCUUGUUGCCUUUUGGUGUCAUGUCUAUUUAAGGAAUAGUAGGGGACGUGACAUGUUGACAGAUUUCAGGCUAUUUUCACAAGGUACUGGAUUUGUUACUGUGUUCUGAAAGGAUACUUUCUUAGUUUUCUAAUUUUCUAAUAAAACAUGAAUUUUGCAUUCUUGAUCAGUUUUAGUCUAAAGUCAAGUUCUCUGUUUUACAGCUUUCCUUCUACUCCUCCCCCUACCUCCUGUGAGUCAUAAGCAUGCCAAGUUGGGAAUAGAAUUUGUCAGCUGAGUGGGGAUGAGACAGUUCUCUGCACAUGUUUGCACCUGUGGCGAAUAAGAAGAGAGGACUUUAAAUGCUGGAAAAACACCGUCACCAAGGCAUCUUCUUCAGGGCCCUGUGUUUGGUUGCAGAGUUCUGUGUGGUCACUGGCCAAUAGGUUGUGGCUCUGAAUCACUUAGGAAGCUGCUCUGCCGUUUGUUCUUUUUUUUUCCCCCGAUACUGGGGAUCGAACUCAGGACCUUACACUUGUGAGGCAGGUGCAGUGCCACUGAGCUAAAUCCACAGCUCUGUAGUUUGUCCGUUCUUGGCAUUGAAUAAUAUGUGUGUUGGGCCUGGGGCCUGGUACUGAGUCUCUCAUGGGUCCUCCACACUUGAUGACUUUCUAAAACUGUUGAGUGAGGCUUUAUACAGUACAGGUUCACUUCUUGUCAGUUCUUAGUGCCAUCUCAUUUUAUUGUCCUAAUUUUUUCCGUUUAUGCUGUUAAUCAUUUUACACCCUAUAUAGGGGCUGCCAUUGAAGAUCAAAAUAAAUGGCAAUUCUGUCAUGGUGGCGCAUGCUGGUGAUUCCAGCACUUGGGAGGCUGUGGCAGAGAAUCACUGCAAGUUCUAGGUCUGCCUGGGGUACAUAGUGAGUUCAAGGCCAGCCUGAACUGCACAGUGAGACCUUGUCCUAAACAACAACAACAAAAUAAAAUAAAUGGUAGCUCUUUUGUUCUUGACCUUUUUUAGAAUUUAUAAUUUCCCUGGCCUCAUUUUAUUAGUUUGUAUUUCCAUUGUGUCUAUUUUGAAAACUUUUUUUUUGGUACUGGAGAUCGAGUGCAACAUAUUUUGAAAACUUUUGCGAAUCUUUUUUGGUGUCCUGAGGGGAAUCAAUAAAUGUUUAUAAGUACAUAAAUAUUUUCGUUGCCAAGUGGUUCAGUAUUUCCUAACAAAGAGCACUUGAUGCUUGUACUGGACCCUGACAGGCCCACCUGGAGGCUUAUCAGUCAGCUCCUUCCUGGCUUCUCAUCUACUCCUUUACCCUUCUCUGAUGGGAAAUAUUCUGUAUCACCUCAGGUACCCUGUUAGAUAACAGUUGUCUCAUCAAGGAGUAAAACUUGCUGGAUAUGGAUAAUGGUGCAUGCCUGCAGUCCCAGCACUGUGGGAGGCUGAGGCAGGAAGAUGGCAAGUUCAAGCCCAGCCUGGAGAAUUUAGCAAAUUAGCAAGGCCCUCUCAAGAUAAAAAAGGGCAAGGGAUGUAGCUUAGCACAAAGGCCCUGGGGACAAUCCUCAGUACUGUGCAAAAAAAAUAGAAAAAGAGAAGACUUUUGCAGAACUCAUCCUCUCCUCCAUGGACCUCAAGCUUAGUGCCUGAAAUUACAAGAAUACUGUUUUUUAAAUGAGGAAAAAGCGAUAUAAAGAAGUUUAAGAAUUUGCCCAAAGUUACCUGGCUAGUGAGCGGCAAAACUGGGACUAGAAAGCAGAGUUCCCUUAUCUCGGAAAUGGGAGUGAAAAUGCCGAAGAAUCUCCCUUGAGCACUCAGAAAAAAAUUAUAAAGUUAUUUCCAGAAGGUUAUGUAUGAUAAUGACUCUUCAGAGACAUCAAAAUUGUAAGAGUGAAGACCUAGUCCAGAAAGGGAGGUGUAAAGCUCCAGGUAUGGGCUCCCUGCUGGAUGGGUGUGCUCCAUGGCCAGCUUUUAACCUUCUUGCAUGAGGCCUGCUGUGCAGACAUGAAAAGUUGCUUUCAGAAAGGUGAUGGCUUCUUUACUACAUUAUGGGAUCUCAUUUGCAAAAUGUCUGUCCUUGGGAAGCUGAAAGUGUUUUCUUGCUCGCUUUCCCAACUCUUCCUUCUUAGCUAUUUCCCCAGGCGGGUUUGUCUCCACUAGGGGCUGAGGCCUGGUUCUUGAAGCAGAGUGGGGUGGAGAGGGCAGAACUACACACAGCAGCUCCCCAGGUGGCUUUCUCAUUGCUUCCACCUCUUGUUGGAACUGAAACAAAGAUGAGG